rnacentral:rRNA from 1 species
CCUACGGGAGGCUGCAGUCGAGAAUUAUUCACAAUGGGGGAAACCCUGAUGGUGCGACGCCGCGUGGGGGAAUGAAGGUCUUCGGAUUGUAAACCCCUGUCAUGUGGGAGCAAAUUAAAAAGAUAGUACCACAAGAGGAAGAGACGGCUAACUCUGUGCCAGCAGCCGCGGUAAUACAGAGGUCUCAAGCGUUGUUCGGAAUCACUGGGCGUAAGGCGUGCGUAGGCUGUUUCGUAAGUCGUGUGUGAAAGGCGCGGGCUAAACCCGCGGAAGGAACAUGAUACUGCGAGACUAGAGUAAUGGAGGGGGAACCGGAAUUCUCGGUGUAGCAGUGAAAUGCGUAGAUAUCGAGAGGAACACUCGUGGCGAAGGCGGGUUCCUGGACAUUAACUGACGCUGAGGCACGAAGGCCAGGGGAGCGAAAGGGAUUAGAUACCCUAGUAGUC